GCCUACACAUGCAAGUCGAGCGCUUCACUUUCGGUGAGGAGCGGCGAACGGGUUACCCCCUCGUGGGAACGUACCCAAAGGUAGGGAAUAGCCACUGCCCAACGGUGAGUAAUGCCCUAUGUGCCCUUCGGGGGAAAGAUUUAUCGCCUUUGGAUCGGCCCGCGUUAGAUUAGGUAGUUGGUGGGGUAAUGGCCUACCAAGCCUACGAUCUAUAGCUGGUUUGAGAGGAUGAUCAGCAACACUGGGACUGAGACACGGCCCAGACUCCUACGGGAGGCAGCAGUGGGGAAUCUUAGACAAUGGGCGAAAGCCUGAUCUAGCCAUGCCGCGUGAGUGAUGAAGGCCUUAGGGUCGUAAAGCUCUUUCGCCAGGGAUGAUAAUGACAGUACCUGGUAAAGAAACCCCGGCUAACUCCGUGCCAGCAGCCGCGGUAAUACGGAGGGGGUUAGCGUUGUUCGGAAUUACUGGGCGUAAAGCGCACGUAGGCGGAUUAGAAAGUUGGGGGUGAAAU
rnacentral:rRNA from 1 species